CAAUAGCGUAUAUUAAAGUUGUUGCAGUUAAAAAGCUCGUAGUUGGAUUUCUGUUUUGGAUGUCCGGUCCGCUCCCUCUGGGAGUGCGUACUUAUGGAUGUUCGAGGCAUUUUUUGUGAGGUCGCUUUUCUGCCAUUAAGUUGGUGGUUUUGCGGGCUUGCAUCGUCUACUGUGAAAAAAUUAGAGUGUUUAAAGCAGGCGUUUGCUCAUUUGAAUACAUUAGCAUGGAAUAAUAAGAUACGGCCUUGGUGGUCUAUUUUGUUGGUUUGCACACCAGGGUAAUGAUUAAUAGGGACAGUUGGGGGUAUUCAUAUUUCAGCGUCAGAGGUGAAAUUCUUGGAUCGCUGAAAGAUGAGCUUAGGCGAAAGCAUUUACCAAGGAUGUUUUCAUUAA
rnacentral:rRNA from 1 species